rnacentral:rRNA from 1 species
GGGUUAAAAGCCGUAAACGGCCGCCCUAGCGGUGAGGGUGCUAAGGUAGCGAAAUUCCUUGCCUUUUAAUUGUAGGCCUGCAUGAAUGGCUUGACGAGGGCUUGACUGUCUCUAGUUUUGGAAUCUAAAUUGGAUUAAAGGUGAAGAUACCUUUAUAUAAAAGUUAGACAAGAAGACCCCGUGCAACUUUUAAAGUCAGCUUAUUAAGAAGUUCAAGAUUUUUAGGUGGGGCGCCUACUGAGUAAUAAUAACCUCUGUGUAAUAGUGAAACUUUCAAGUGUAGACCCGGCAAUGCCGAUCAUAGGAGAAGUUACGCCGGGGAUAACAGGCUAAUUCACUAGUAGAGAACGUAUUGGCUAGUGAGAUUGGCACCUCGAUGUUGAAUCAGGGAUGAUACCUUUAAGGCGUAGAAGCUUUAA